rnacentral:rRNA from 1 species
UACAGGGGGGGCAAGCGUUGUUCGGAAUUACUGGGCGUAAAGGGCUCGUAGGCGGCCAACUAAGUCACACGUGAAAUCCCUCAGCUUAACUGGGGAACUGCGUGUGAUACUGGAUGGCUUGGAUUUGGGAGAGGGAUGCGGAAUUCCAGGUGUAGCGGUGAAAUGCGUAGAUAUCUGGAGGAACACCGGUGGCGAAGGCGGCAUCCUGGACCAAUAUUGACGCUGAGGAGCGAAAGCCAGGGGAGCAAACGGG